rnacentral:rRNA from 1 species
UACAGAGGGUGCGAGCGUUAAUCGGAAUUACUGGGCGUAAAGCGUGCGUAGACGGCUAUCUAAGUCGGGUGUGAAAGCUCCGGGCUCAACCUGGGAAUUGCAUUCGAGACUGAAUAGCUAGGGUACGGUAGAGGGAAGUGGAAUUUCCGGUGUAGCGGUGAAAUGCGUAGAUAUCGGAAGGAACAUCAGUGGCGAAAGCGACUUCCUGGACCAGUACCGACGUUCAGGCACGAAAGCGUGGGGAGCAAACAGG